rnacentral:rRNA from 1 species
GUGGUAAUGCCGGAUGUUCCAGUUGAUCGCAUGGUCUUCUGGGAAAGCUUUCGCGGUAUGGGAUGGGGUCGCGUCCUAUCAGCUUGACGGCGGGGUAACGGCCCACCGUGGCUUCGACGGGUAGCCGGCCUGAGAGGGCGACCGGCCACAUUGGGACUGAGAUACGGCCCAGACUCCUACGGGAGGCAGCAGUGGGGAAUAUUGCACAAUGGGCGCAAGCCUGAUGCAGCGACGCCGCGUGAGGGAUGGAGGCCUUCGGGUUGUAAACCUCUUUUAUCGGGGAGCAAGCGUGAGUGAGUUUACCCGUUGAAUAAGCACCGGCUAACUACGUGCCAGCAGCCGCGGUAAUACGUAGGGUGCAAGCGUUAUCCGGAAUUAUUGGGCGUAAAGGGCUCGUAGGCGGUUCGUCGCGUCCGGUGUGAAAGUCCAUCGCUUAACGGUGGAUCCGCGCCGGGUACGGGCGGGCUUGAGUGCGGUAGGGGAGACUGGAAUUCCCGGUGUAACGGUGGAAUGUGUAGAUAUCGGAAAA